AUACGGAAGGUCCGGGCGUUAUCCGGAUUUAUUGGGUUUAAAGGGAGCGCAGACGGCUUGGUAAGCGUGCAGUGAAAUCCGGCGGCUCACCCGUCGGAGUGCUGCGUGAACUGCCUGGCUUGAGUGAGCCGGAAGAGGGUGGAAUUUGUGGUGUAGCGGUGAAAUGCUUAGAUAUCACGAAGAACUCCGAUUGCGUAGGCAGCCCUCUGUAGCUUUACUGACGUUCAUGCUCGAAGGUGCGGGUAUCGAACAGGAUUAGAUACCCUGGUAGUCCGCACUGUAAACGAUGGAUGCUCGCUGUUUGCCUAUUUAGGUGAGUGGCCCAGCGAAAGCGUUAAGCAUCCCACCUGGGGAGUACGCCGGCAACGGUGAAACUCAAAUGAAUUGACGGGG
rnacentral:rRNA from 1 species